GACAGAGGUGCCAAGCGUUAGGCGGAAUCACUGGGCUUAAAGCGUGUGUAGGCGGAUGCCUAAGUACCUUGUGAAAUCCCACGGCUCAACCGUGGAACUGCUGGGUAUACUGGGUGUCUUGGGUCAGCUAGGGGUUGCCGGAACAAAUGGUGGAGCGGUGAAAUGCGUAGAUAUCGUGAGGAACACCAGAGGCGAAGGCGGUUACCUGGACAGUUACUGACGCUCAGGCACGAAAGCGUGGGGAGCAAAAGGG
rnacentral:rRNA from 1 species